GAUGAACGCUGGCGGCGUGCCUAAUACAUGCAAGACGAGCGAACAGACGAGGAGCUUGCUCCUCUGACGUUAGCGGCGGACGGGUGAGUAACACGUGGAUAACCUACCUAUAAGACUGGGAUAACUUCGGGAAACCGGAGCUAAUACCGGAUAAUAUAUUGAACCGCAUGGUUCAAUAGUGAAAGACGGUUUUGCUGUCACUUAUAGAUGGAUCCGCGCCGCAUUAGCUAGUUGGUAAGGUAACGGCUUACCAAGGCAACGAUGCGUAGCCGACCUGAGAGGGUGAUCGGCCACACUGGAACUGAGACACGGUCCAGACUCCUACGGGAGGCAACAGUAGGGAAUCUUCCGCAAUGGGCGAAAGCUUGACGGAGCAACGCCGCGUGAGUGAUGAAGGUCUUCGGAUCGUAAAACUCUGUUAUUAGGGAAGAACAAAUGUGUAAGUAACUAUGCACGUCUUGACGGUACCUAAUCAGAAAGCCACGGCUAACUACGUG
rnacentral:rRNA from 1 species